GACGUACCGUGCGAACGUUAUUCGGAAUCACUGGGCUUAAAGGGCGCGUAGGCGGGCCAGCAAGUCAGGGGUGAAAGCCCACGGCUCAACCGUGGAAGUGCCUCUGAUACUGCGGGCCUCGAGGGAGGUAGGGGCGUGCGGAACUUCCGGUGGAGCGGUGAAAUGCGUAGAUAUCGGAAGGAACACCGGUGGCGAAAGCGGCGCGCUGGACCUCUUCUGACGCUGAGGCGCGAAAGCCAGGGGAGCGAACGGG
rnacentral:rRNA from 1 species